AAAUUGAAGAGUUUGAUCAUGGCUCAGAUUGAACGCUGGCGGCAGGCCUAACACAUGCAAGUCGAGCGGUAGCACAGAGAGCUUGCUCUCGGGUGACGAGCGGC
rnacentral:rRNA from 1 species